rnacentral:rRNA from 1 species
GACGAACGCUGGCGGCGUGCUUAACACAUGCAAGUCGAACGCUGAAGCUCAGCUUUUGUUGGGUGGAUGAGUGGCGAACGGGUGAGUAACACGUGAGUAACCUGCCCCCUUCUUUGGGAUAACGCCCGGAAACGGGUGCUAAUACUGGAUAUUCACUGGUCUUCGCAUGGGGGGUGGUGGAAAUGGUUUUUCUGGUGGGGGAUGGGCUCGCGGCCUAUCAGCUUGGUGGUGGGGUGAUGGCCUACCAAGGCUUUGACGGGUAGCCGGCCUGAGAGGGUGACCGGUCACAUUGGGAGUGAGAUACGGCCCAGACUACUACGGGAGGCAGCAGUGGGGAAUACAGAACAAUGGGCGCAAGCAUGAUGCAGCGACGGCGCGUGCGGGAUGGCGGCCUUCGGGUUGUGAAUCUCUUUGGCUCAUGGUCACGCCGGAACCAUGGUUGUGGUGAGGGUAGUGGGUAAAGAAGCGCCGGCUAACUACGUG